rnacentral:lncRNA from 1 species
CUUGCAUUCAUCAGAAAUUUGCUCCUUUUUAUUUAUGAAUAGCAUUCUAUUGCAUAAACAUACCACAGUUUGUUUAUCCAUUCUCCUGUUGAUGACUUCAGGACCUCCAACUGGCUGAGACCCAUAGAACACAUUUGGGUUGUUUCCAGUUUGGGACCAUUAUGAACAAAUCUGCUAUAUAUUUUUAUUUUAUUUAUUUAUUUAUUUAUUUAUUUUGAGGCAGAUUAGCCCUGAGCUAACAUCUGCUGCCAAUCCUCCUCUUUUUGCUGAGGAAGACUGGCCCUGAGCUAACAUCUGUGCCCAUCUUCCUCCACUUUAUAUGUUGGACGCCUACCACAGCACGGCUUGAUGAGCUGUGCCAUGUGCGAACCCUGGAUCCGAGCUGGCGAACCGUGGGCCACCAAAGGAGAAUGUCUGUGCUUAACUGCUGUGCCACCAGGCUGCCCGGUUGUGAACAUUUUUGUAUGAGAGUCUUGCGGUCAGAUGCAUUCUUUUUUCUUGGGGUUGGAGAAGUUGGCGGCGCGAUACUGUCAAUGACUCUUGCUGACCAUUAGAGGGCAGACUGACUCCACAGCGGUCCGGAACAGCGGCCCAGCGGUCAAGGGCUCCAAAACCCUCUCCCCAAUUUACGCCUCCGCUGGUCAUUUCCAGCACCAUCUCCCAGCACUACCACCAACCCCAUUUUAACAAUCCUCCUCAACACAAAACAAACACGCAAUCACAGUCCAGGAGCGGCCCUGAGGUCGCUCCUCUUUCCCCCUCCAGCCACCUACACGCUCUUCUUCC